GCAGUCGAACGAUGAAGCCUAGCUUGCUGGGUGGAUUAGUGGCGAACGGGUGAGUAACACGUGAGCAACCUGCCCCUGACUCUGGGAUAAGCGCUGGAAACGGCGUCUAAUACUGGAUACGAACCAUGAAGGCAUCUUCAGUGGUUGGAAAGAUUUAUUGGUUGGGGAUGGGCUCGCGGCCUAUCAGCUUGUUGGUGAGGUAAUGGCUCACCAAGGCGUCGACGGGUAGCCGGCCUGAGAGGGUGACCGGCCACACUGGGACUGAGACACGGCCCAGACUCCUACGGGAGGCAGCAGUGGGGAAUAUUGCACAAUGGGCGCAAGCCUGAUGCAGCAACGCCGCGUGAGGGAUGACGGCCUUCGGGUUGUAAACCUCUUUUAGCAGGGAAGAAGCGAAAGUGACGGUACCUGCAGAAAAAGCACCGGCUAACUACGUGCCAGCAGCCGCGGUAAUACGUAGGGUGCAAGCGUUAUCCGGAAUUAUUGGGCGUAAAGAGCUCGUAGGCGGUUUGUCGCGUCUGCUGUGAAAUCUGGGGGCUCAACCCCCAGCCUGCAGUGGGUACGGGCAGACUAGAGUGCGGUAGGGGAGAUUGGAAUUCCUGGUGUAGCGGUGGAAUGCGCAGAUAUCAGGAGGAACACCGAUGGCGAAGGCAGAUCUCUGGGCCGUAACUGACGCUGAGGAGCGAAAGGGUGGGGAGCAAACAGGC
rnacentral:rRNA from 1 species